CGUUCGCUCCCCUGGCUUUCGCGCCUCAGCGUCAGUGUCAGCCCAGCAACCCGCCUUCGCCGCAGGUCUUCCUCUCGAUAUCUACGCAUUUCACCGCUACACCGAGAAUUCCAGUUGCCCCUUCUGCACUCUAGUCCGACAGUAUCACUUGACCUUUCCGAGUUAAGCCCGGAGAUUUCACAAGUGACUUGUCACGACCGCCUACGCGCCCUUUACGCCCAGUAAAUCCGAACAACGCUUGCUCCCCCCGUAUUACCGCGGCUGCUGGCACGGAGUUAGCCGGAGCUUACAAACAGUACCGUCAUCAUGGGGGGUAUUGUCCCCCACUUAUUCUUCCUGUUCUUGCGAAGUUUACAUCCCGAGGGAUUUCAUCCUUCACGCGGCGUUGCUGGGUCAGGCUUUCGCCCAUUGCCCAAAAUUCCCGACUGCUGCCUCCCGUAGGAGUCUGACCCGUAUGUCAGUGUCAGUGUGGCCGACCGCCCUCUCAGGCCGGCUACGGAUCGAUGCCUUGGUGAGCCAUUACCUCACCAACUAGCUAAUCCGCCGCAGGCUCCUCUUUAGGCGCGAGGUCUUGCGAUCCCCCGCUUUAACAACUGUCUCGAUGUCGAGCCGCUGCAUUAUGCGGUAUUAGCAGCCGUUC
rnacentral:rRNA from 1 species